rnacentral:rRNA from 1 species
UACCCGCGCCCCAAGUGGUGGUCGUUAUUAUUGGGUCUAAAGGGUCUGUAGCCGGCCGGAUAAGUCUCUUGAGAAAUCCAGCAGCUCAACUGUUGGGCUUUCAGGAGAUACUGUUCGGCUCGAGGCCGGGAGAGGUGAGAGGUACUUCAGGGGUAGGGGUGAAAUCUUGUAAUCCUUGAAGGACCACCAGUGGCGAAGGCGUCUCACCAGAACGGACCUGACGGCAAGGGACGAAAGCUAGGGGCACGAACCGG